rnacentral:rRNA from 1 species
UACGUAGGGGGCUAGCGUUGUCCGGAAUCAUUGGGCGUAAAGCGCGCGUAGGCGGCCAGAUAAGUCCGGUGUGAAAGUCAAAGGCUCAACCUUUGAAUGCCGCUGGAAACUGUCUGGCUUGAGUCCGGAAGGGGCGAGUGGAAUUCCUGGUGUAGCGGUGAAAUGCGCAGAUAUCAGGAGGAACACCAAUGGCGAAGGCAGCACUCUGGGACGUGACUGACGCUGAGGAGCGAAAGCGUGGGGAGCGAACAGG